UGAGGAAUAUUGGUCAAUGGGGCGGAAGCCUGAACCAGCCAAGUCGCGUGAGGGAAGACGGUCCUACGGAUUGUAAACCUCUUUUGCCGGGGAACAACGGGCGUCACGCGUGGCGCUGUGAGUGUACCCGGAGAAAAGACAUCGGCUAACUCCGUGCCAGCAGCCGCGGUAAUACGGAGGAUGCGAGCGUUAUCCGGAUUUAUUGGGUUUAAAGGGUGCGCAGGCGGCGCGUCAAGCCGGCGGUAAAAUUGCGGGGCUCAACCCCGUAGAGCCGUCGGAACUGGCGAGCUUGAGUGGAGAAGAAGUAUGCGGAAUGCGAGGUGUAGCGGUGAAAUGCAUAGAUAUCGCGCAGAACUCCGAUUGCGAAGGCAGCGUACUAUCCUCCGACUGACGCUGAGGCACGAAAGCGUGGGUAUCGAACAGGAUUAGAUACCCUGGUAGU
rnacentral:rRNA from 1 species